rnacentral:rRNA from 1 species
CCUACGGGUGGCAGCAGUGAGGAAUAUUGGUCAAUGGACGAGAGUCUGAACCAGCCAAGUAGCGUGAAGGAUGACUGCCCUACGGGUUGUAAACUUCUUUUAUAAGGGAAUAAAGUGAGGCACGUGUGGGAUUUUGUAUGUACCAUAUGAAUAAGGAUCGGCUAACUCCGUGCCAGCAGCCGCGGUAAUACGGAGGAUCCGAGCGUUAGCCGGAUUUAUUGGGUUUAAAGGGAGCGUAGUUGGGUUGUUAAGUCAGUUGUGAAAGUUUGCGGCUCAACCGUAAAAUUGCAGUUGAUACUGGCAGUCUUGAGUACAGUUGAGGUGGGCGUACUUCGUUGUGUAGCUG